UUAAGCGACUAAGCGUACACGGUGGAUGCCCUGGCAGUCAGAGGCGAUGAAGGACGUGCUAAUCUGCGAAAAGCGUCGGUAAGGUGAUAUGAACCGUUAUAACCGGCGAUGUCCGAAUGGGGAAACCCAGUGCAAUUCGUUGCACUAUCGUUAACUGAAUACAUAGGUUAACGAGGCGAACCGGGGGAACUGAAACAUCUAAGUACCCCGAGGAAAAGAAAUCAACCGAGAUUCCCCCAGUAGCGGCGAGCGAACGGGGAGCAGCCCAGAGUCUGAAUCAGCUUGUGUGUUAGUGGAACGGUCUGGAAAGUCCGACGGUACAGGGUGAUAGUCCCGUACACCAAAAUGCACAGGUUGUGAACUCGAAGAGUAGGGCGGGACACGUGGUAUCCUGUCUGAAUAUGGGGGGACCAUCCUCCAAGGCUAAAUACUCCUGACUGACCGAUAGUGAACCAGUACCGUGAGGGAAAGGCGAAAAGAACCCCGGCGAGGGGAGUGAAAAAGAACCUGAAACCGUGUACGUACAAGCAGUGGGAGCACCUUCGGGUGUGACUGCGUACCUUUUGUAUAAUGGGUCAGCGACUUAUAUUCUGUAGCAAGGUUAACCGUAUAGGGGAGCCGCAGGGAAACCGAGUCUUAACUGGGCGUUAAGUUGCAGGGUAUAGACCCGAAACCCGGUGAUCUAGCCAUGGGCAGGUUGAAGGUUGGGUAACACUAACUGGAGGACCGAACCGACUAAUGUUGAAAAAUUAGCGGAUGACUUGUGGCUGGGGGUGAAAGGCCAAUCAAACCGGGAGAUAGCUGGUUCUCCCCGAAAGCUAUUUAGGUAGCGCCUCGUGAACUCAUCUUCGGGGGUAGAGCACUGUUUCGGCUAGGGGGUCAUCCCGACUUACCAACCCGAUGCAAACUACGAAUACCGAAGAAUGUUAUCACGGGAGACACACGGCGGGUGCUAACGUCCGUCGUGAAGAGGGAAACAACCCAGACCGCCAGCUAAGGUCCCAAAGUCAUGGUUAAGUGGGAAACGAUGUGGGAAGGCACAGACAGCCAGGAUGUUGGCUUAGAAGCAGCCAUCAUUUAAAGAAAGCGUAAUAGCUCACUGGUCGAGUCGGCCUGCGCGGAAGAUGUAACGGGGCUAAACCAUGCACCGAAGCUGCGGCAGCGACACUAUGUGUUGUUGGGUAGGGGAGCGUUCUGUAAGCCUGCGAAGGUGGCCUGUGAGGGUUGCUGGAGGUAUCAGAAGUGCGAAUGCUGACAUAAGUAACGAUAAAGCGGGUGAAAAGCCCGCUCGCCGGAAGACCAAGGGUUCCUGUCCAACGUUAAUCGGGGCAGGGUGAGUCGACCCCUAAGGCGAGGCCGAAAGGCGUAGUCGAUGGGAAACAGGUUAAUAUUCCUGUACUUGGUGUUACUGCGAAGGGGGGACGGAGAAGGCUAUGUUAGCCGGGCGACGGUUGUCCCGGUUUAAGCAUGUAGGCGGAGGUUCCAGGUAAAUCCGGUACCUUUUAACGCUGAGGUGUGAUGACGAGGCACUACGGUGCUGAAGUAACAAAUGCCCUGCUUCCAGGAAAAGCCUCUAAGCAUCAGGUAACAUUAAAUCGUACCCCAAACCGACACAGGUGGUCAGGUAGAGAAUACCAAGGCGCUUGAGAGAACUCGGGUGAAGGAACUAGGCAAAAUGGUGCCGUAACUUCGGGAGAAGGCACGCUGGUGUGUAGGUGAAGUCCCUGCGGAUGGAGCUGAGACCAGUCGAAGAUACCAGCUGGCUGCAACUGUUUAUUAAAAACACAGCACUGUGCAAACACGAAAGUGGACGUAUACGGUGUGACGCCUGCCCGGUGCCGGAAGGUUAAUUGAUGGGGUUAUCCGUAAGGAGAAGCUCUUGAUCGAAGCCCCGGUAAACGGCGGCCGUAACUAUAACGGUCCUAAGGUAGCGAAAUUCCUUGUCGGGUAAGUUCCGACCUGCACGAAUGGCGUAAUGAUGGCCAGGCUGUCUCCACCCGAGACUCAGUGAAAUUGAACUCGCUGUGAAGAUGCAGUGUACCCGCGGCAAGACGGAAAGACCCCGUGAACCUUUACUAUAGCUUGACACUGAACAUUGAGCCUUGAUGUGUAGGAUAGGUGGGAGGCUUUGAAGCGUGGACGCCAGUCUGCGUGGAGCCAACCUUGAAAUACCACCCUUUAAUGUUUGAUGUUCUAACGUUGGCCCCUUAUCGGGGUUGCGGACAGUGUCUGGUGGGUAGUUUGACUGGGGCGGUCUCCUCCCAAAGAGUAACGGAGGAGCACGAAGGUUAGCUAAUCCUGGUCGGACAUCAGGAGGUUAGUGCAAUGGCAUAAGCUAGCUUGACUGCGAGCGUGACGGCGCGAGCAGGUGCGAAAGCAGGUCAUAGUGAUCCGGUGGUUCUGAAUGGAAGGGCCAUCGCUCAACGGAUAAAAGGUACUCCGGGGAUAACAGGCUGAUACCGCCCAAGAGUUCAUAUCGACGGCGGUGUUUGGCACCUCGAUGUCGGCUCAUCACAUCCUGGGGCUGAAGUAGGUCCCAAGGGUAUGGCUGUUCGCCAUUUAAAGUGGUACGCGAGCUGGGUUUAGAACGUCGUGAGACAGUUCGGUCCCUAUCUGCCGUGGGCGCUGGAGAAUUGAGGGGGGCUGCUCCUAGUACGAGAGGACCGGAGUGGACGCAUCACUGGUGUUCGGGUUGUCAUGCCAAUGGCACUGCCCGGUAGCUAAAUGCGGAAGAGAUAAGUGCUGAAAGCAUCUAAGCACGAAACUUGCCCCGAGAUGAGUUCUCCCUGAGACUUUAAGUCUCCUGAAGGAACGUUGAAGACGACGACGUUGAUAGGCCGGGUGUGUAAGCGCAGCGAUGCGUUGAGCUAACCGGUACUAAUGAACCGUGAGGCUUAACCUU
rnacentral:rRNA from 1 species